AAUGAACGCUGGCGGCGCGCCUAAUACAUGCAAGUCGAGCGAGAAGACGUAGCAAUACGUUUGUAAAGCGGCGAACGGGUGAGGAAUACAUGGGUAACCUACCCUCGAGGUGGGGAAUAACUAGCCGAAAGGUUAGCUAAUACCGCGUACGCUUCUUGGACUUCGGUUCAGGGAGGAAAGCGAUGCCGAGGGUAUCGCGCUCUUGGAUGGGCUCAUGUCCUAUCAGCUUGUUGGNGAGGUAACGGCUCACCAAGGCUUCGACGGGUAGCUGGUCUGAGAGGACGAUCAGCCACACUGGCACUGCGACACGGGCCAGACUCCUACGGGAGCAGCAGUAAGGAAUAUUGCGCAAGUGGGACGAAAGCCUGACGCAGCGACGCCGCGGUGGGGGA
rnacentral:rRNA from 1 species